CCUGCCCCGCCAGGGCCAGCUCUCCAGCGUUGCCCUGGUGAAGGGCAGGACCAGCUCACCUAAGUGUGCUAGGGCCAGUUCUCCAUGCCAACACCACCAGGGCCAGCUUUCCAAUGCUGCUCUCCUGCUCCUCUAUCUUCGGGGCUGGCUCACCUGGGCUCAUGCCACCAGGGACAACUCUACUGCGCUGCCCAGGCAAGGUGGGGACCUGCUCUCCUGAGUGCUGCAGCUGGUGAGCCGCGGGACGGGUUCUCCUGUGUCCAGGCCUCGAGGGGUAGGGCUGGCUGCCCAGUGCCCCUGUUGCAGACUGUGAAACCGAGAGUCUAGUUUCUUUCUAUGGGGCGGUUUGGAUUGGUUAAGUGGUACUCCGAAGCUUUGAUGUCACCAUCCUCUCUGCUGGGUCCAGAGCUCCUCUAAGCAGGGUGAAUGCUUAUUUACCUCGUGAUGCUGAAAACUAGGGGUACCCUCUGGUCACACGCCCAAUACCUUACCAGACUGACAUACACAGUCAGAGGUUGAACAGUCCCAACUUGACCAGCUGCCAACUGGAAAGCUGAGAAACCAGUAGCAACUCAGUACAAGAAGCUGAAGCUUCAGAACAAAAGAGACCAGUGAAGUCCCCGGUGUGAGUCUGAGGACCUGGAAACUAGUCCCAAAGUUGCUGGUACAGGUCUGUAUUCAAAAGCAGAGGAAUCCAGAUGAUGCUUGGAUGACAAGAGCAGCGCAAACCACACCUGCUCGUGAAGAUGUGAGCAUCCAUGGAAACUUCCCUUUGGUGCACUCUCUGAAUUCCAUCCAUACCCUGGCCUAUUAGAGAGCCAUCGCUUCCCCACUUGGCUUUCUGACGUAUACAUUAACCAUGUCUGGAACUGCUCUCUCAAGAGUGGGCAGGUGGACACUGGAGCUGAACCACUGAAGCCACGGGGCCCCUCUGUUCUUCCCCUGAAGGAGACUUACAUCCUGGUCUUCUAUGCUUCUAUCAUCAAUCUAACUAUAGGCUCUAGACUCCAAGAAGAGCUAUAGUGAUAAUUGCUUUACUCUCCCUAAGUGUUACAUUUCUGUCUUUACUCUGUAGUCACACCUUCCAGAAUGCUCUUUCUGAUCACCUGCACUUAACUUUGCAUGACAUAGACUGUGGUUUUAGAUGUUUGCUUCCAGGGAAUGUUUGCAUUUAAUCUCAAGCAAACCUCAAACUCAAAGCAAAAAGACAGUUUCUCCCUUGGAAUGUGUAAUAUGAUGAUUUUGAAAAUAAAAGUGAUAAGAUGGGAAUCUUUUGAAAUACA